UACGUAGGGGCCUAGCGUUGUCCGGAUUUAUUGGGCGUAAAGAGCUCGUAGGCGGUUCGGUAAGUCAGGUGUGAAAUCUCCACGCUCAACGUGGAGGCGCCACCUGAAACUGCCGUGACUCGAGUCCGGUAGGGGAGUGUGGAAUUCCCGGUGUAGCGGUGAAAUGCGCAGAUAUCGGGAGGAACACCAGUGGCGAAGGCGGCAUCCUGGACCAACACUGACGCUGAGGAGCGAAAGCCAGGGGAGCAAACGGG
rnacentral:rRNA from 1 species